AGCGUAGACGGAUGGACAAGUCUGAUGUGAAAGGCUGGGGCUCAACCCCGGGACUGCAUUGGAAACUGCCCGUCUUGAGUGCCGGAGAGGUAAGCGGAAUUCCUAGUGUAGCGGUGAAAUGCGUAGAUAUUAGGAGGAACACCAGUGGCGAAGGCGGCUUACUGGACGGUAACUGACGUUGAGGCUCGAAAGCGUGGGGAAGCAAACAG
rnacentral:rRNA from 1 species